rnacentral:rRNA from 1 species
AUACGUAGGGGGCGAGCGUUGUCCGGAAUGAUUGGGCGUAAAGGGCGCGUAAGCGGCCCGGUAAGUCUGGAGUGAAAGUCCUGUUUUUAAGAUGGGAAUUGCUUUGGAUACUGUCGGGCUUGAGUGCAGGAGAGGUAAGUGGAAUUCCCAGUGUAGCGGUGAAAUGCGUAGAGAUUGGGAGGAACACCAGUGGCGAAGGCGACUUACUGGACUGUAACUGACGCUGAGGCGCGAAAGUGUGGGGAGCAAACAGGAUUAGAUACCCUGGUAGUCCACACUGUAAACGAUGAAUGCUAGGUGUAGGGGGUAUCGACCCCUUCUGUGCCGCAGUCAACACAAUAAGCAUUCCGCCUGGGGAGUACGGCCGCAAGGUUGAAACUCAAAGGAAUUGACGGGG